GGCGGAUGUAGCCAAG
rnacentral:tRNA from 144 species